ACUCUGCACUGCUCUGUUGCAACUCUGGGAAAUUGAGUCAAAGAGUAUUUAGCAGAGACGGGCCAUUUCUAUUAAACUGAAUGGGAGAAAUUGGAACGCUCAACGGUCAACGGAUGUAGAAAGGAAGUCCCGCCUUACAGUAGAUAGGAGCUGCACUGGCAUGACUGGAAAUAGCCUCCCGGGAGCUUUCCAAAGAUGGCCGCCAGUGGACUGACUUGAUUGAGUUUUCUGCUCUUCGAAAGCGGAAGCGAAAUAAUGCACAGAACGAGCAGUAUGGCUGGUGGCAUUGUCAUGCUGGAGGGUCAUUUCAGGAUGAGCCUGCAGGAAGGGUACCACAUGAGGGAGGAGGAUGUCUUCCCUGUAACGCACAGCAUUGAGACUGCUUACAAUGACAACAAGCGCAGUCCGAUGAUGCUGUGACACACCGCCCCAGACCAUGACGGACCAGUCCAACAGUCCAGCCUAUUGCGGACAGUCUGAGCACUGAUGGAGGGAUUGUGCAUUCCUGGUGUAACUCGGGCAGUUGUUGUUACCAUCCUGUACCCGUCUCACAGGUGUGAUAUUCGAUGUACCGAUCCUGUGCAGGUGUUGUUACACGUGGUCUGCCACUGUGAGGACGAUCAGCUGUCCUUCCAGUCUCCCUGUAGCACUGUCUUAAGUGUCUCACAGUAUGGACUUUGCAAUUUAUUGCUCUGGCCACAUCUGCAGUACUCAUGCCUCCAUGCAGCAUGCCUAAGGCACGUUCACGUAGAGGAGCAGGGACCCUGGGCAUCUUUCUUUUGGUGUUUUUCAGAGUCAGUAGAAAGGUCUCUUUAGUGUCCUAAGUUUUUAUAACUGUGACCUUAAUUGCCUACCAUCUGUAAGCUGUUAGUGUCUUAACGACCGUUCCACAGGUGCAUGUUCAUUAAUUGUUUAUGGUUCAUUGAA